UGUCCAGUAGCACCUUAGAGACCAACUAAGUUUGUUAUGGGUAUAAGCUUUCGUGUGCAUGCACACUUCUUCAGAUACACAGUGUGCAUGCACAUGAAAGCUUAUAGCCAGAACAAACUUAGUUGGUCUUUAAGGUGCUACUGGACA
rnacentral:miRNA from 1 species